AAUUACAGGCAUGCACCACCAUACCUGGCAAGAAAUCUGCUUCCUGUGAGAGAAAGAAAGCCUGGUAUGUCCAUGUGGUCCUCUCAUCCCCACCAUCCCACCAGGGACUCAACAGCUCAGCUUAAACAUUUCAGAGGAUCUAGCAUAGAAGGUGAGACACAAGCAUGAAAAACCAUAGUCUGGAUAUGAGGGACCUUGGGAAAUGCUGAGCACCUGAGAAUAACAGAAGAAAUACUGUUGAUGAUCAGAGAGUGAAUGGAUAAAUCAGUACAGGUAAAGUCUGAUAACACACAUGGACUGGCAUCUAUGUUUCUACCCAUGAUUUCAAUUUGGAAUACUCUCCUACAAUGUGGAAGGAAGUAUCACUUAUUCACUCAGUGCAUAUUACAGACCACUUA